GUGCUGGCUUCGGCAGCACACAUACAAAAUUGGAACGAUACAGAGAGGAUUAACGCAGCCCCUGCGCUAGGAUGACGCGCAGAUUCGUGAAGGAACGGGGAUAAAA
rnacentral:snRNA from 14 species